CAAUAGCGUAUAUUUAAGUUGCUGCAGUUAAAAAGCUCGUAGUUGGAUUUCGGGUGGGAAUGGCCGGUCCGCCGUUUCGGUGUGCACUUGCUACGCCCACCUUGCUGCCGGGGACGUGCUCUUGAGUUCACGCUCGGGACACGGAGUCGGCGAGGUUACUUUGAGUAAAUUAGAGUGUUCAAAGCAGGCCUACGCUCUGAAUACAUUAGCAUGGAAUAACACGAUAGGACUCUGGCCUAUCUUGUUGGUUUCUAGGGCUGAGAUAAUGAUUAAUAGGGAUAAUUGGGGGCAUCUGUAUCAACGCGUCAGAGGUGGAAUUCUUGGAUUGCGUUGCGACAAACUACUGCGAAAGCAUUUGCCAAGGAUGUUUUCAUUGA
rnacentral:rRNA from 1 species